CCCUUAGAUGUCCGGGGCCGCACGCGCGCUACACUGAAGGAAUCAGCGUGGCUUUCUCCCUGACCCGAAAGGGUUGGGAAACCCGUUGAAUCUCCUUCGUGAUGGGGAUUGGGGCUUGAAAUUGUUCCCCAUGAACGAGGAAUUCCCAGUAAGCGCGAGUCAUAAGCUCGCGUUGAUUACGUCCCUGCCCUUUGUACACACCGCCCGUCGCUACUACCGAUUGAAUGGUUUAGUGAGAUCUUCGGAUUGGCGCCACUGCGGCUCAGCAAUGGGCUCGGUGGAUGCCGAAAAGUUGAUCAAACUUGAUCAUUUAGAGGAAGUAAAAGUCGUAACA
rnacentral:rRNA from 1 species